UACGUAGGGUGCAAGCGUUAAUCGGAAUUACUGGGCGUAAAGCGUGCGCAGGCGGCUUUGCAAGGCAGAUGUGAAAUCCCCGGGCUCAACCUGGGAACUGCAUUUGUGACUGCAUGGCUGGAGUGCGGCAGAGGGGGAUGGAAUUCCGCGUGUAGCAGUGAAAUGCGUAGAUAUGCGGAGGAACACCGAUGGCGAAGGCAAUCCCCUGGGCCUGCACUGACGCUCAUGCACGAAAGCGUGGGGAGCAAACAGG
rnacentral:rRNA from 1 species